rnacentral:lncRNA from 1 species
GGGAUCUGCCCCACAAUCCCAUUACUUACAUGAAUAUUUUUGACACUUCUAAUGUCUAAAUGUGCUUUUUAGUACUGCAGAACAAUUUGGUGUUAUUUUAUCCUCUAUAAUUCCUCACAAGAAUUAAGUAGAACGGUUAGAGGUAGCGUUUCAUGGAUGGAUGAACUAUAUUUUUUCAUCACUGUGUGUCCCAUGCCAGCACUGUGGCUUGCACAUGGUAAGUUCUUACUAAACAUGUUUUAAAUUGGUUAAUGAAUAAUUAAAACAUCUAAAACAAUGCAUUUUUAUCCAUAUUAGAGAAGACACUAACAGCUUCUGAUACUGUAGUGAACUAAGGAAUAAGGAAGACAUUAUUUUAAGUGAGGUAUGGAGUGAGGCUAAAACUCACCAAAUCAGCAAUUGAGGGGUGAAAAUAAAAGCAAAUCACAUAGUUCACAAACAAAGCCAAAAGUACCAAAAGGAGAAAUGAAGAAUUUUGGAUUCCCUGACAAUCAAAUGUUUUAUAGCAUUAGUGUUCAAACUCUGAUCUACCGAACAAGUUGCCUUCCAGCAACCAGUUUUGCUUUGCAUAGGCCUGGUGUGGGCGGAGGGUGGGACACUGGUGUGCACCAGAGUGAAAGCAGAAACUCAGUCACUGCAAGGGGAAGGCAGCACAUCUGCCAGCUCCCUGGGGAACGGCUUGUGCACAAGGGAAGCAGCAUCGCAGGAGGGUGUCACGGACGUGCUGCAGCCACCAAGACUAAAACAUGGCCCCAUAGGGGCUUAGCAAACCACUGCAGGGGACAGCCCUGGAGACCACAGGCGACAGGAUAG